GUUAACCAGCACGGUCAACGGCAGUGUCUUCAGCAAGCUCUCCUGAGGGGGUGAGGAGUAACAGUUCCAGAUAAAGACACUACAGAUAACGAUUUUUAUCACAAAUGUCAGAAGGGAACGUGGAGCCUUGUGUUCGGUGAUGAGAGCAAUGAACAGCUUAAACAGUGACCCGACACCUGUCUGGGUAAGGCAGGCGUUUUGCAUGUCGAACACACUAAGUCACCGUGCCUCAACAGCUAAAAGGUGUAGUUUGACUCAUUUUCUGAUGAACACGGAAGGUGUACAUCCCGUGUCGGGGUGAGAAACUUUUGUCGGGUGUCUGCCAGGUACAACCGAGAAGCGCUUUGGUAGCUCCUGCACUCCCGCUGUAGGUCACAAGAUGGCGUAUGAAUACCCAGAAAGAUGACUGUCCGAGUAACCCGUUCAGCAGUGAAAGACCCAUCUUACUGUUGUGUUUUGCUUGGGCACCGUAAUAAUUCUUGCUAGCACACAGACAGGAUUUCCUCGUAGUAGUAGUUAUUAAAUGUUAUUUUUCAGGAGUCGUAUUCAGAAAGGUUGUAAGAGGUAUAUGGAAAUUCAAGUCUGCAUUUUUAGUAAUUUACAGGUUGCGCUGUCUAUAGCGAGGAUUGCCGGAGGGCUGGACUUGCCGGAGGAGCAGCGUGCUGUCAUAAGGAAGUCUAUCCCAGCUAUCAGAUAAAUGAGGAGGGAUACAGAAGCAUUUUUCAAAACCAAAACAUUCUGUAGAUGACACAUUUAUUUUUCAAAGCAGGAAAUACUUACUGAGUGAUGGUGUUCUUUUGGGCCUGCACUUUGCCAGAUGCACGCUGAUUUGUUGGUGGCUGUUGCUCAUUAUACCCAUAAUUGGGAAGUGACAUUGUUUCUGGCCUAGAGAAGAGAGCAAAUCCACAGUGUGUCCAAUCAGGCACCAGACAGUUGUUGACGUGACAGAUUUUUCUUUGGGAAGUGAAUUGUUUUACCACUUUUUGCCUAACUUCAGUCUUGUCUUUUAAUAAGAAAUGCCAGCCCAUCUGUUUUACUGGAAUGCCCAUAGUUGUGGAUUAGCAGGCCAUUUUCAAUAGCACUGCUUAUUUUAAAAGCAGAUCAAGGGACACUGAAAGUACGUGUCUUGAAAUGUAAUAUCCUAGGAAGAGUCUUUGGUCUGGCAAAAUAGUGCCAAAUAGUUCUGCUCACCGUACUCUCUGUU